UACGUAGGGCGCAAGCGUUAUCCGGAAUUAUUGGGCGUAAAGAGCUCGUAGGCGGUUUGUCGCGUCUGCCGUGAAAGUCCGGGGCUCAACCCCGGACUUGCAGUGGGUACGGGCAGACUGGAGGUAUGCAGGGGGAGAACGGAAUUCCUGGUGUAGCGGUGAAAUGCGCAGAUAUCAGGAGGAACACCAAUGGCGAAGGCAGAUCUCUGGGCCGUAACUGACGCUGAGGAGCGAAAGCAUGGGGAGCGAACAGG
rnacentral:rRNA from 1 species